GCCGGGGCCUGGAGCCUGCCUGCCCCCUCCCCUCCGGCUUUCGAACAGCCCUUCCUCCCCGAGCCCAACGGCGGCUCUGUAGCCGGCACCCAGCAGCUCAGUCAGACAAAGGAAAGAUCUUCAGGCUAAGAACAAAGCAAUCCUUCAAAUUUUACACCAGUACAUUAGGGCAGAAGAUAAUUGGAUGGACUUUUAUCAGUACAUUUUCCUGACUUGCUACUAAAGAGAAGCUGUGAACAGCAGAGGUUGAAGAGGAAAACAGGACAAGAAUUGAACACUACAGACCAAAGUGCUUAUGAAAUUUAAAGAUAAAGGAAAAAGUCCAGGGGAAAAAGAGAAAAGAAAGGAAGAGCCGCAGAAAGAUUCUCUAGAAUACAGCCACCUUGGAAGACAGAGCUCCUCCUCAGUGAGAGGGAGUCAGCUUUGGAACUGGAGUUUUCUCGAGAAAGAAAAGCCAUACAGAAAAGUAAUACUGACUGGGACUGAACCAUCUUUUCCACAUAGUAUUGGCAAAACCAUAAUAAGCCUGGCUAUUCCUUGGCUUAUUCCAACAACUGUAGUGGAUCUAAUGGAGAUAUUUUAGAGAACUUCAAUGAUGGGAGCUGGAGAAAGCAGUGUGUUUAUAGAUAAACACUGCUAUAUGAGGAAAAAAAUCUUAUUGUGAAUAUUACACAGAUUAGAUAAUAGUAAUAUGUUUUAAAAAUAAGUCACUUGAUUUAGAUAAAUGAUCUAAAUAUUAUUCACCUAAUCAGAAACAUUUUUAGCAACAAUUCUACAAAAUUUUUGUGUGUGUAAUUCAACACAUAAAACCACAUCAUCCAUAUGUAACUGACAGUGAGUCAUCUCUUGAAGCAUAAGAAAUGGGGACCUAAGUAAAAGCAUAAUACAGCACACAAUAUGUAGUAACUGAAGGGCAGAGACAAUGUUGCAUUAGUUUUAGGACUACUGCUUUAUGCCUCUGUCACCUUUAGAGGGACGGUUCCCUGGACAAGAUAGGAAAAAAAAGUUUUAGAAAUGUUUUGUCUUAGAGACCUGAACUUAUAAGGGCGAGUUUCUAUGGAGGGGGGGGGAGAGGGGAAGACUUUUGCAAGAUCUGUAAUACUGGGGCCAGUCAGAUGUUCACAAUAUAUUGCUCACCAAGAAACUGAGCCCGAGAAUUAUUAAGGUUUUUUUGGUGAAUAACUUUGAAUAAUUAAUUCUUCUGAGAAAACCACAAUCUGUUCACAGAGAGUUCAUGAAGAAAAAAAAAAAAAAAAAAAAAGAAAAGAAACCAAGGUGAAUAAUUCAUUAUGAAUUAUUUGACCUGUUUUAGCAAUGAGAUUCUAAAUCUGUCCUCUUAUGGAUAUUAACCUCAUUAAUACUAUUUAGAUACAAGACUUCGGGAUAAUUAAGAUGAUGCAAUACUGUCUAUCUAAUAUGACACUAUUAAUAUUUUUGUAAAUACUUUGAAAAUAAUGCUUUAUUUAUUGUAUUUUUUUAAAUCCUUGUGUAUAAAUUUAGAAGAACUGGCCAUCUUAGAAUAAUUAAUGCAAUAAUAGGACAUUCUUAUAUGAGAAGGAAGCCUUGAUGACAGAGAGAUCUAAAUGUUUAAAAUCUGCUUAGGUCUACUGCUAUAACACAUAGCUGAGUGACCAAUUCGCCUAUCAUUUGUGAAUUCUAGGGAAUUUGAGAGAAUGUCUAAUCCUGAACUGAGAAACAGAAUUUCCAGGGAUGGGAGAGAAAUCAGCUGAAAGUACAAUGUAAGAAAAGACUGGAAGAAGCAGAGUGAUCUUCUUGAAAUAGUGGAAAAAAGUCCAGAAGACCUGCUGGUACUAGCACAACAACUCUGCAUUGAAGAAAGAGG
ensembl:lncRNA